CAGAGGUAUGUUGUGAACCACUAGAUCCAGAGGUAUGUUGUGAACCACUAGAUCCAGAGGUAUGUUGUGAACCACUAGAUCCAGAGGUAUGUUGUGAACCACUAGAUCCAGAGGUAUGUUGUGAACCAAGUGUAUCAGAGGCAUGUUGUGAACCACUAGAUCCAGAGGUAUGUUGUGAACCAAGUGUAUCAGAGGCAUGUUGUGAACCACUAGAUCCAGAGGUAUGUUGUGAACCACUUGAUCCAGAGGUAUGUUGUGAACCACUUGAUCCAGAGGUAUGUUGUGAACCACUUGAUCCAGAGGUAUGUUGUGAACCACUUGAUCCAGAGGUAUGUUGUGAACCACUUGAUC